rnacentral:lncRNA from 1 species
UUGAUUUGUAGUUUAAAUUUUAAUCAUGAGAAAAAUCUUACUAUGUCUGAAGCUUAUGUAACCGGAUAACACAUGAUAGUUGACUGUUUUGACCAAUCUAGUUCAAGUUUUUCGUAAUUGUCUUAUGGGGGAAAAUCUUGGUUAAAAUCUGAGAAAAUAAAUGAACUGUCAGUAAAGGCUAAAAUGAAAAAAGAAAAUAAAGUUUGGAGGAACCUCAGGGUAUGUAUUAAAUUUUUUUUUGAAAAAAGAAAUAAAAAUAGAAAAUCCAAAAAACACAAGAAG